rnacentral:rRNA from 1 species
AUUGAACGCUGGCGGCAUGCCUUACACAUGCAAGUCGAACGGCAGCACGGGUGCUUGCACCUGGUGGCGAGUGGCGAACGGGUGAGUAAUACAUCGGAACAUGUCCUGUAGUGGGGGAUAGCCCGGCGAAAGCCGGAUUAAUACCGCAUACGAUCUACGGAUGAAAGCGGGGGACCUUCGGGCCUCGCGCUAUAGGGUUGGCCGAUGGCUGAUUAGCUAGUUGGUGGGGUAAAGGCCUACCAAGGCGACGAUCAGCAGCUGGUCUGAGAGGACGACCAGCCACACUGGGACUGAGACACGACCCAGACUCCUACGGGAGGCAGCAGUGGGGAAUUUUGGACAAUGGGCGAAAGCCUGAUCCAGCAAUGCCGCGUGUGUGAAGAAGGCCUUCGGGUUGUAAAGCACUUUUGUCCGGAAAGAAAUCCUUGGCCCUAAUACGGUCGGGGGAUGACGGUACCGGAAGAAUAAGCACCGGCUAACUACGUG